UCUUCCUCCAGGGGAUCUUCCUAACUCAGGGAUCAAGCCCGUGACCUAGCUUAUAAUCUGGACAUGACCUAUCUGGACUAGGUAUUGAUAAAAUUCCUCUCUCCCCCAUUAAACCACGUCAUGUAGAUCAGCUGAGGACUCACUUCUUUCUCCACAGAUAUGGUCUGCUUGGAUCUACUGCUAGACCAAGCAUGUCUUCUCCAGGAUUCACUCCUGACAUUGCCUAGGUGAGGUUCUCGUAAAUUCCCAGGGAAGCCUCAGUCAGACUACAACCUGCAGAUGCAUCUCUUUGCCGUCUUCUGGGAGCCUUCAUCUAACUCUGCCAAUAUCCCAUAAUAGCUAGAUAUGACCAUCAGUCUCAAGUGUUUCUGUCCUUGACCUUCCUCCUGCAUCACCCACUGACCUCUCACCUCUGGAGCUCUUCAGACCUGGACCUUCCUGACAUGUACUGGCCCUGCUUUAUUCUAACUGCUUCAGACACCUCUUUCUCAGUCAUCUUCCUGUAGCCAC